CGAGCGGCUGUCCGGCCUGCUGGAGGAGGCGGGCUACGUGCCCGCGUCCGACGGCGAGACCGCCGACGUCGUCGUGUUCAACACGUGUGCCGUGCGG
rnacentral:tRNA from 1 species